rnacentral:lncRNA from 1 species
ACACUCCACACAGAAACAAUUACAUGCUAAACAAAUACUGAUAAAAAAUUAUGAAUUAUGCUAAACAAAGACAAGUUGAAACAUGGUUAUGAAUUAUGCUAAGUAUAUAGAAAACAUUAUGCUAAACCACAUAAUCACAGAAAGGGGAGGGCAUCAUAUUAGCAAUGGGGCAGGAUCAUAGAAACAUAUGACAAAACAUGUUACAAAGAUUCUAGAUAGUAUGAAAGGCACACAAAUUGUAUAUAAACAUUCAAGCAUUGUUAAGGAGGUCUAAUUAACAGAAUAUAAUUUAGCUAGUGCCAAAAGUCUAGCCUAACACCUUAAAGUAACAAUUCAAAACAUGCUGAGAUCAUAAGCAGAUACUAAAAGAAUAUGGUAUCAAAUAUGCAUAAUGAGGGCCAGAAUGACCAACACUGAAAGGCUCAACACAGACUACUGCAGGGAUUCAGGAGGGGGGAUGGGGUAGGUGAAUAAAUAUAUUCAUAGCCAUUCAAGAGUCAAUAUACUAACUGAAUAGGCCCUAAAGAGGUUCAAAUAACUUCAGAACAUGCAACAUAUGAGCAAACAAAGGUUAAAGAGAGCAAGACAUACAAAACUUAACAAAGAUAAUGCCUAAACAUUACUCGUAUGCAUAUUGGAUCAUGGAUUCGUCAAGAAUAACAUAUACAAAUAAGGGAUAUGUAAGAAUGCAAAUGCAAAAGUUUAAGUGACUCACUAUUUAAGAGAGAAAUGCAAGAAAAGAACAAAACCCACAGUAUUCUAAAUCGUCAAUGAGGAGCAAAAGACUAGAACUUAAUGGCCUUGGCUUUCAGCCGGCCAAGACCACAGUGUAGAACGAAACUAACAGAGUAAAGCUUUGGAUCUAGUCAGGUUAUAAUGACUUCCAAGUCUAUGCUAAAGGAGAAAUAGAGAGGGGGGCAAACAAGUCAUUCAAACAAUAAUGGGAAAGAUUAUUCGGGAAUCAAUUAGGAUAGAUUUUAGGGCACAAAUCAAAGGGGUUCAGUAAAUCAACAGAGAAAAUACCAAAUAGUACCAAAUCAUUUUAAGGCAAAGAAUAAAGCAGAAAAAAGGAAAACCUAAAGAAAAGAGUAAUCAAACACAAAAAAGGAAAAGAAUCAAAUCACUAAGGAGGAGAGGAAAAUUCCAGACCCUAAUUUUAGGCAUAGAACAAAAGUAAAAAUCAUAUGAUGCAUAGAAUGAGAUAAAUAUUGACAUGAAUCUAUUCAAAAUAAAAAAAAUUAAGUCAAAUUUGGUCUGAUUAUAAAAGGAUUUGAAACCUUAAAUAAGUUAAGUAAAAAAUCUCAAUGAUACACAGAGAUUCAUAGAGAUUCAUACCAUAAAAGAACAAGAACAAACAUGGAUUGAAAGGGUCAAAUAGCUGAACUAGUUUUGGUUCGAUUUCUAAGAGAUUUUCUUGCCAUGUUUAGGCAAGCAAAAUAGGUAACAUCAUAGAUGAGUAGCCAGUAGAAGAGGUGGACAACAAGGUAAGGGAAUCAUUGAUUGAUUCCAUUUUUUGGGUCAGAAUCAGAGGAGAUAAUAGGUUAACCGUGCUAGAGUUUAUUCAAAGGAGAAGAAGAAUAGAGAGCAUUUAGGGGCAGCGGGUGGUGAGAAAUGGGUUGGGGUUGGGGGUUU